GGUCCAGAGAGAGAGCCAUUAGAUGCUUUGGGUUCUUCUGAAGGGCUUGAAAUUGCAGUGAGUUCCUCAGUCUUUGUCACAUCCAGAGAGGGAAAGCAAGGGGACACAGGCCAUUGAGAAGCAGCCUGGCAGAGUGGCUAAGGGUACAAAACUGGAGCCGGACUACCAGGGUGUGGCUCUCAACUCCAGCACUGAUAGAUCUGUGACUGUGAGCAAGUCAUAAGCUCUCAGUGUCUCAGCAUCCUCCAUCUGUCACAUGGUAGCAAUAAUUGUACCCACUCUAAGGCUUUAUGAGGAUUAAAUGAUUUAACAUUAUAAAGUGCUUAGAACACUGCCUGGCACCUAGUAAGCACUAGAUAAACAUUUGCUAAAUAAAUUCACAGAGAUCCUUGUUCAUCAGAAGCCAGAGCCAGAGACCUUCCAUCAGUAGAUCUCACUGAUGUCCCUCUUCCUUUUUGCAGCCUCCUGCCCUCCCACAGAUGAUCCCACAGAUGGUCGAUCAAAGGCACAGC
rnacentral:lncRNA from 1 species